CCUACGGGAGGCAGCAGUGAGGAAUAUUGGUCAAUGGACGAAAGUCUGAACCAGCCAUGCCGCGUGCAGGAUGACGGCCCUAUGAGUUGUAAACUUCUUUUGUACAAGGGUAAACCUCAAUACGUGUAUUCAGCUGACAGUACUGUACGAAUAAGCAUCGGCUAACUCCGUGCCAGCAGCCGCGGUAAUACGGAGGAUCCAAGCGUUAUCCGGAUUUAUUGGGUUUAAAGGGUGCGUAGGCGGAUUGAUAAGUUAGCGGUGAAAUGUCCGAGCUUAACUCGGGAACUGCCGCUAAUACUGUUGAUCGAGAGAGUAGAUGCGGUAGGCGUAAUGUAUGGUGUAGCGGUGAAAUGCUUAGAGAUCAUACAGAACACCGAUUGCGAAGGCAGCUUACCAAGCUAUAUCUGACGUUGAGGCACGAAAGCGUGGGGAGCAAACAGGAUUAGAUACCCCUGUAGUC
rnacentral:rRNA from 1 species